rnacentral:rRNA from 1 species
ACGAACGCUGGCGGCGUGCUUAACACCUGCAAGUCGAACGGAAAGGCCUCUUUCGGGGGGUACUCGAGUGGCGAACGGGUGAGUAACACGUGAGUAACCUGCCCUUGACUUUGGGAUAACUUCAGGAAACUGGGGCUAAUACCGGAUAGGAGCUCCUGCUGCAUGGUGGGGGUUGGAAAGUUUCGGCGGUUGGGGAUGGACUCGCGGCUUAUCAGCUUGUUGGUGGGGUAGUGGCUUACCAAGGCUUUGACGGGUAGCCGGCCUGAGAGGGUGACCGGCCACAUUGGGACUGAGAUACGGCCCAGACUCCUACGGGAGGCAGCAGUGGGGAAUAUUGCACAAUGGGUGGAAGCCUGAUGCAGCAACGCCGUGUGCGGGAUGACGGCCUUCGGGUUGUAAACCGCUUUCGCUCAUGACGAAGCUUUGUGUGACGGUAGUGGGUAAAGAAGCACCGGCUAACUACGUG